GACCGUGUGGCUCAGUUGGUUAGAGCGUGGUGCUAAUACUGCAUGUGUUGCAACGCUAAGGUCCUGGGUUCGACCCCCAGCAUGGUCA